CGUUUAUUAACUUACUUUCGGGAGUAUAGCUCAUAUAGCACUCGAAGUGGGACUGCAAGCCAGACAUCACUAUAGAGGCAGCAAGUAGCCGUGCUUCCAGUUUCCGCCAAAUUUAAAAAAAUAAAAUUUCAAAGUUUUGAAGUCCCUUACGUAAAUAUCUAAUAUUAUUAUUUUUCUAUUAAGACGGUUGAAAACUGGUUGUAUUUUCGUACAUUUAAAUCAAGUUUUCAUAAUUUUAUUAAAAUUGUUUGUCUACCUGUAUUCGAUUUGUAUUGAACAUUAUAUAAAAAACUUAAUAAAAUAUUAUUCACUAUAUC